UGCCCUUAAGGAAAUCACUCUACAAACUAUCAUCACCCUGCCCUUAAGGAAAUCACUCUACAAACUAUCAUCACCCUGCCCUUAAGGUAAUCACUCUACAAACUAUCAUCACCGUGCCCUUAAGGAAAUCACUCUACAAACUAUCAUCACCCUUAAGGUAAUCACUCUACAAACUAUCAUCACCGUGCCCUUAAGGUAAUCACUCUACAAACUAUCAUCACCGUGCCCUUAAGGAAAUCACUCUACAAACUAUCAUCACCCUUAAGGUAAUCACUCUACAAACUAUCAUCACCCUUAAGGAAAUCACUCUACAAACUAUCAUCACCGUGCCCUUAAGGAAAUCACUCUACAAACUAUCAUCACCGUGCCCUAAAGGUAAUCACUCUACAAACUAUCAUCACCCUUAAGGUAAUCACUCUACAAACUAUCAUCACCCUUAAGGAAAUCACUCUACAAACUAUCAUCACCCUUAAGGUAAUCACUCUACAAACUAUCAUCACCCUUAAGGAAAUCACUCUACAAACUAUCAUCACCCUUAAGGAAAUCACUCUACAAACUAUCAUCACCCUGCCCUUAAGGAAAUCACUCUACAAACUAUCAUCACCGUGCCCUUAAGGUAAUCACUCUACAAACUAUCAUCACCAUGCCCUUAAGGUAAUCACUCUACAAACUAUCAUCACCCUGCCCUUAAGGAAAUCACUCUACAAACUAUCAUCACCGUGCCCUUAAGGUAAUCACUCUACAAACUAUCAUCACCGUGCCCUUAAGGUAAUCACUCUACAAACUAUCAUCACCGUGCCCUUAAGGUAAUCACUCUACAAACUAUCAUCACCAUGCCCUUAAGGUAAUCACUCUACAAACUAUCAUCACCGUGCCCUUAAGGUAAUCACUCUACAAACUAUCAUCACCCUGCCCUUAAGGAAAUCACUCUACAAACUAUCAUCACC